rnacentral:rRNA from 1 species
GACGGGGGGGGGCAAGUGUUCUUCGGAAUGACUGGGCGUAAAGGGCACGUAGGCGGUGAAUCGGGUUGAAAGUGAAAGUCGCCAAAAAGUGGCGGAAUGCUCUCGAAACCAAUUCACUUGAGUGAGACAGAGGAGAGUGGAAUUUCGUGUGUAGGGGUGAAAUCCGUAAAUAUACGAAGGAACGCCAAAAGCGAAGGCAGCUCUCUGGGUCCCUACCGACGCUGGGGGUGCGAAAGCGUGGGGAGCAAACAGG